rnacentral:rRNA from 1 species
UACAGAGGGGGCAAGCGUUAUUCGGAAUUAUUGGGCGUAAAGGGCGCGUAGGCGGUCGUGCGCGUCGGAGGUGAAAUCCCCGGGCUUAACCCGGGAGCUGCCUCCGAUACGGCAUGGCUUGAGUCCGGGAGAGGGGAGCAGAAUUCCCAGUGUAGCGGUGAAAUGCGUAGAUAUUGGGAGGAAUACCGGUGGCGAAGGCGGCUCCCUGGACCGGUACUGACGCUGAGGCGCGAAAGCGUGGGUAGCAAACAGG